ensembl:lncRNA
UGUGUGUGUGUGUGUGUGUGUGUGUGUGUGUGUGUGUGUGUGUGUGUGUGUGUGUGUGUGUGUGUGUGUGUGUGUGUGUGUGUGUGUGAUAAUGUUUGAAAGUGUCUUUGUGUGUGUAUAAGUAUGUGUGUCUGUGUGUUUGUGUGUGUGAUAGUGUGUGUGUCUGUGUAUGUAAGAGUGUAUGACCUCCUUAAUGUUGUUUCAAGGAUGUGAUUCUGUCUGGGAGAAGACAUUUUCAAAAUGGCCCCCAGUGAUGUGGUAGAAUUCCACUCCGUAGCUCCUCCAUUAAACUCCAGUCAGGGUCCUUAGACGUCCUCUAUGAUGAGUCACGGCCCUGUGUGGUACUGCUGUGCUGCUCCACUGUAGAGCAAGGCAUUCACUCUACCAGGGUGGGGUUUCCAUUCCAGCCGCUUCACGUUCAUCUCACUCUGUCACCAAUCAUCUUCAGCGAUCUUAACAAGGCAGGACACUUCGCUCGUAGACCGCUGAACAAAAACUUUAACACCUUUAAACAGAACAACCUCCAGAAGGGUGAGAUAAAGCACUCUGUGUUCCAUUAGAUCAUUCCUCACUCUAAACUCCACUGGUCCUGAAGACGAUACUCCAGCGUUGGAGACCAGGUGUUGCCGUGGCAACUGGUAGAGCCAGCUGCAGUAAAGCGUGUUGCCGCUGCUGUAAAGACGCUGUAAACAGACGGCGGGUGAAUCAUCGCCCUGAGCUGUAAACGUCGCACCGUUAAAUCACACGCCGCCGCCGGCGCCCGGCAAGCCUAACUACCGCCCGCCACUUAUUAUGGUAUGUUUAUUAAUCACCACGGAAACCCUCCACUCCUCCAGCCUGCACAGAGACAGAGAGUCGUAAAAGGAGAGAGACAUAGAGAGAGAGACAUUAAAAAGAAAAUGAAAGAGGAAGAGAGAGAGAGAGAGAGAGAGAGAGAGAGUAUUUUUAGGGAGCUGAAGGUCACAUCUCAGAAAUUAUUCACCCGGCCUUUCUAAGCCUUACUAAGCCUCACUAAGCCUCAACCGGCCUCACUAAGCCUCACUAGGCCUCACCAGGCCUCACUAAGCCUCACUAAUCCCCACUAGGCCUCACCAGGCCUCGCUAAGCCUCACUAAGCCUCAGUUUGCCUCACUAAGCCUCACUAAGCCUCACCAAGCCUCACCAGGCCUCACUAGACCUCACUGGGCCUCACUAGACCUCACUAGGCCUCACUUAGCCUCACUAGGCCUCACAGGCCUCACUAAGCCUCACAAGGUCACUAAGCCUGACUAAGCCUUACUAAGCCUCAUUAAGCCUCACUAAGGGCGCACUCACACUAGGCCAUCUGUACCGUGCCCGAGUACGUAUCACACCUGUACCAUGCUUGAGUCUAGAUCCUUUGGCUAGUGUGAGCACGCCAACCGUACUCAAG